rnacentral:rRNA from 1 species
UUUAGCCAUUGCGAGUCGAGAGGUGAAAGACCUCGGCGUACUGCUCAGUAACACGUGGACAACCUACCCUAAGGAGGGGGAUAACCCCGGGAAACUGGGGAUAAUACCCCAUAGACUAGAGAAGCUGGAAUGCUCUCAAGUCCAAAGGUCCGCCGCCUUAGGAUGGGUCUGCGGUCGAUUAGGUUGUUGUUGGGGUAACGGCCCAACAAGCCCGUGAUCGAUACGGGUUGUGAGAGCAAGAGCCCGGAGAUGGAUUCUGAGACAUGAAUCCAGGCCCUACGGGGCGCAGCAGGCGCGAAAACUUUACAAUGCGGGAAACCGUGAUAAGGGAACCCCGAGUGCCCGUAAAUUCGGGCUGUCCAUCAGCGUAAAUAACUGGUGAAGAAAGGGCCGGGCAAGACCGGUGCCAGCCGCCGCGGUAAUACCGGCGGCUCGAGUGGUGGCCACUAUUAUUGGGCUUAAAGCGUCCGUAGCUUGGUUGUUAAGUCUCUUGGGAAAUCUACCGGCUCAACCGGUAGGCGUUCAGGAGAUACUGGCAAUCUAGGGACCGGGAGAGGUGAGAGGUACUCCAGGGGUAGGAGUGAAAUCCUGUAAUCCUUGGGGGACCACCUGUGGCGAAGGCGUCUCACUAGAACGGCUCCGACAGUGAGGGACGAAAGCUGGGGGAGCAAACCGGAUUAGAUACCCGGGUAGUCCCAGCUGUAAACGAUGCGCGUUAGGUGUAUCGGUGACCACGAGUCACCGAGGUGCCGAAGGGAAACCGUGAAACGUGCCGCCUGGGAAGUACGGUCGCAAGGCUGAAACUUAAAGGAAUUGGCGGGGGAGCACCACAACAGGUGGAGCCUGCGGUUUAAUCGGACUCAACGCCGGAAAGCUCACCGGAUAAGACAGCGGAAUGAUAGCCGGGCUGAAGACUCUGCUUGACUAGCUGAGAGGAGGUGCAUGGCCGUCGUCAGUCGUACCGAAGGUUCUNGUC